UUAAGCGACUAAGCGUACACGGUGGAUGCCCUGGCAGUCAGAGGCGAUGAAGGACGUGCUAAUCUGCGAUAAGCGUCGGUAAGGUGAUAUGAACCGUUAUAACCGGCGAUUUCCGAAUGGGGAAACCCAGUGUGUUUCGACACACUAUCAUUAACUGAAUCCAUAGGUUAAUGAGGCGAACCGGGGGAACUGAAACAUCUAAGUACCCCGAGGAAAAGAAAUCAACCGAGAUUCCCCCAGUAGCGGCGAGCGAACGGGGAGGAGCCCAGAGCCUGAAUCAGUAUGUGUGUUAGUGGAAGCGUCUGGAAAGGCGCGCGAUACAGGGUGACAGCCCCGUACACAAAAAUGCACAUGCUGUGAGCUCGAUGAGUAGGGCGGGACACGUGGUAUCCUGUCUGAAUAUGGGGGGACCAUCCUCCAAGGCUAAAUACUCCUGACUGACCGAUAGUGAACCAGUACCGUGAGGGAAAGGCGAAAAGAACCCCGGCGAGGGGAGUGAAAAAGAACCUGAAACCGUGUACGUACAAGCAGUGGGAGCACGCUUAGGCGUGUGACUGCGUACCUUUUGUAUAAUGGGUCAGCGACUUAUAUUCUGUAGCAAGGUUAACCGAAUAGGGGAGCCGAAGGGAAACCGAGUCUUAACUGGGCGUUAAGUUGCAGGGUAUAGACCCGAAACCCGGUGAUCUAGCCAUGGGCAGGUUGAAGGUUGGGUAACACUAACUGGAGGACCGAACCGACUAAUGUUGAAAAAUUAGCGGAUGACUUGUGGCUGGGGGUGAAAGGCCAAUCAAACCGGGAGAUAGCUGGUUCUCCCCGAAAGCUAUUUAGGUAGCGCCUCGUGAAUUCAUCUCCGGGGGUAGAGCACUGUUUCGGCAAGGGGGUCAUCCCGACUUACCAACCCGAUGCAAACUGCGAAUACCGGAGAAUGUUAUCACGGGAGACACACGGCGGGUGCUAACGUCCGUCGUGAAGAGGGAAACAACCCAGACCGCCAGCUAAGGUCCCAAAGUCAUGGUUAAGUGGGAAACGAUGUGGGAAGGCCCAGACAGCCAGGAUGUUGGCUUAGAAGCAGCCAUCAUUUAAAGAAAGCGUAAUAGCUCACUGGUCGAGUCGGCCUGCGCGGAAGAUGUAACGGGGCUAAACCAUGCACCGAAGCUGCGGCAGCGACGCUUAUGCGUUGUUGGGUAGGGGAGCGUUCUGUAAGCCUGCGAAGGUGUGCUGUGAGGCAUGCUGGAGGUAUCAGAAGUGCGAAUGCUGACAUAAGUAACGAUAAAGCGGGUGAAAAGCCCGCUCGCCGGAAGACCAAGGGUUCCUGUCCAACGUUAAUCGGGGCAGGGUGAGUCGACCCCUAAGGCGAGGCCGAAAGGCGUAGUCGAUGGGAAACAGGUUAAUAUUCCUGUACUUGGUGUUACUGCGAAGGGGGGACGGAGAAGGCUAUGUUGGCCGGGCGACGGUUGUCCCGGUUUAAGCGUGUAGGCUGGUUUUCCAGGCAAAUCCGGAAAAUCAAGGCUGAGGCGUGAUGACGAGGCACUACGGUGCUGAAGCAACAAAUGCCCUGCUUCCAGGAAAAGCCUCUAAGCAUCAGGUAACAUCAAAUCGUACCCCAAACCGACACAGGUGGUCAGGUAGAGAAUACCAAGGCGCUUGAGAGAACUCGGGUGAAGGAACUAGGCAAAAUGGUGCCGUAACUUCGGGAGAAGGCACGCUGAUAUGUAGGUGAAGCGACUUGCUCGUGGAGCUGAAAUCAGUCGAAGAUACCAGCUGGCUGCAACUGUUUAUUAAAAACACAGCACUGUGCAAACACGAAAGUGGACGUAUACGGUGUGACGCCUGCCCGGUGCCGGAAGGUUAAUUGAUGGGGUCAGCGCAAGCGAAGCUCUUGAUCGAAGCCCCGGUAAACGGCGGCCGUAACUAUAACGGUCCUAAGGUAGCGAAAUUCCUUGUCGGGUAAGUUCCGACCUGCACGAAUGGCGUAAUGAUGGCCAGGCUGUCUCCACCCGAGACUCAGUGAAAUUGAACUCGCUGUGAAGAUGCAGUGUACCCGCGGCAAGACGGAAAGACCCCGUGAACCUUUACUAUAGCUUGACACUGAACAUUGAGCCUUGAUGUGUAGGAUAGGUGGGAGGCUUUGAAGUGUGGACGCCAGUCUGCAUGGAGCCGACCUUGAAAUACCACCCUUUAAUGUUUGAUGUUCUAACGUUGACCCGUAAUCCGGGUUGCGGACAGUGUCUGGUGGGUAGUUUGACUGGGGCGGUCUCCUCCUAAAGAGUAACGGAGGAGCACGAAGGUUGGCUAAUCCUGGUCGGACAUCAGGAGGUUAGUGCAAUGGCAUAAGCCAGCUUGACUGCGAGCGUGACGGCGCGAGCAGGUGCGAAAGCAGGUCAUAGUGAUCCGGUGGUUCUGAAUGGAAGGGCCAUCGCUCAACGGAUAAAAGGUACUCCGGGGAUAACAGGCUGAUACCGCCCAAGAGUUCAUAUCGACGGCGGUGUUUGGCACCUCGAUGUCGGCUCAUCACAUCCUGGGGCUGAAGUAGGUCCCAAGGGUAUGGCUGUUCGCCAUUUAAAGUGGUACGCGAGCUGGGUUUAGAACGUCGUGAGACAGUUCGGUCCCUAUCUGCCGUGGGCGCUGGAGAACUGAGGGGGGCUGCUCCUAGUACGAGAGGACCGGAGUGGACGCAUCACUGGUGUUCGGGUUGUCAUGCCAAUGGCACUGCCCGGUAGCUAAAUGCGGAAGAGAUAAGUGCUGAAAGCAUCUAAGCACGAAACUUGCCCCGAGAUGAGUUCUCCCUGACUCCUUGAGAGUCCUGAAGGAACGUUGAAGACGACGACGUUGAUAGGCCGGGUGUGUAAGCGCAGCGAUGCGUUGAGCUAACCGGUACUAAUGAACCGUGAGGCUUAACCUU
rnacentral:rRNA from 1 species